rnacentral:pre_miRNA from 1 species
AAAGUACUCCCUCCGUCCCAAAAUUCUUGUCUUGGAUUUGUCUAGAUACGGAUGUAUCAAGUCACAUUUUAGUAUUAGAUACAUCCAUAUCUAGACAAAUCUAAGACAAGAAAUUUGGGACAGAGGGAGUAGUUG